GAUGUUGGGUUAAGUCCCGCAACGAGCGCAACCCUUGUCUUUAGUUGCCAUCAUUAAGUUGGGCACUCUAGAGAAACUGCCAGGGAUAACCUGGAGGAAGGUGGGGAUGACGUCAAAUCAUCAUGCCCCUUAUGCUUAGGGCUACACACGUGCUACAAUGGGUAGUACAGAGGGUUGCCAAGCCGUAAGGUGGAGCUAAUCC
rnacentral:rRNA from 1 species